rnacentral:lncRNA from 1 species
UAUAAUUUUAGAAUCUAAAAUUUAUGUUUGUGUAUGAGGAUUUUGAUCAUGAAAAAAUCAUAAAUUAGGUCAUGUAAUAGGAUUGCAUUUAAAAUUUUUGAUUUGAGUCAUAUGGGUCUAACUCGAUUAAGUAAUUGAUCAAAUCAAGUCAAGUAUUGAUAAGAGUUAGAUUAAUUAAGUUAAUGAUCAUACAAUUAUUGUUGAUCAAAUCAUUUAAAUCCCAUAAGUAGAAUCGAUAACCUAAGGACCUAAUUUGGCUCACUGGUUUGAGCAUAAUUCGUUAAAGCUAACUAAUUCUGAUCAAUCAACUUAUUGGUGUCUAAGACAAGUUAAUGAGAUGUAGUUAUUUAAUUAAUUCUGUUAGCCAACCUAACCAAUUUAUUGAUAUCUUAGGAAGGCAAUGAGGGGACCCCCACCAAUCUCUACUUACCUGAUAAUUUGAAAGAUUGGGUCUUGAAUUAGGUUGCUUAGCAAUCUGGUUUAAUCCAUACCAGCU